GAUGAACGCUGGCGGCGUGCCUAAUACAUGCAAGUCGAGCGAACAGAUGAGGAGCUUGCUCCUCUGACGUUAGCGGCGGACGGGUGAGUAACGCGUGGAUAACCUACCUAUAAGACUGGGAUAACUUCGGGAAACCGGAGCUAAUACCGGAUAAUAUAUUGAACCGCAUGGUUCAAUAGUGAAAGACGGUUUUGCUGUCACUUAUAGAUGGAUCCGCGCCGCAUUAGCUAGUUGGUAAGGUAACGGCUUACCAAGGCGACGAUGCGUAGCCGACCUGAGAGUGUGAUCGGCCCCACUGGAACUGAGACACGGUCCAGACUCCUACGGGAGGCAGCAGUAGGGAAUCUUCCGCAAUGGGCGAAAGCCUGACGGAGCAACGCCGCGUGAGUGAUGAAGGUCUUCGGAUCGUAAAACUCUGUUAUUAGGGAAGAACAAAUGUGUAAGUAACUAUGCACGUCUUGACGGUACCUAAUCAGAAAGCCACGGCUAACUACGUG
rnacentral:rRNA from 1 species